UAUAUCCUCCAAUGGCAGCACUGGAAAACUUUUCCUUUAUUUCCAAACAAAUUGCUCUUUCUCUCCCCCCUUCCAAUAAAGCAUCCAAAAACGUUGACCCGCCACGGAUCUGCUGCUUUUUCUUGACCCUUUCAAAAUCCAUUCCAUUCAAUUCAAUUCCUCCCAAUUCUUUGUAAGUUUUUUAAUCGUUACAUUCGAUUUUAUUCUGAGAGAUCUUCGCAAAGUUUCUAGCUUCUUAAUCAUUUCUUUGAUCUAGAAUGGAUAGUAAUUAUUCAGCUAUACCCAAAGGCUCAUUUGUAGAAUUACAAAUGCAUAAUGAACCCCACGACUUUAGAUCCCAACAAAAAUCGCUCCUCUCUGAUGAUGGGAACCGGGUAAAUCAUCCCAAGGUUAUUGAUGAUUUUGAUGAUCUUAAUGAUGAUGAUGAUGAUGAUUUCGAUACUGAUGUUGAUGUUGAUGUUGAUCUCGAUGAUUAUACCCUUGUUUUAAGUAAACCCAAUACCGGGUCUGGUGUUUCUGGUGCUGUUUUUAACUUAACCACCACAAUUAUUGGUGCUGGAAUCAUGGCUUUACCUGCUACUAUGAAGGUUCUUGGGCUUGUUUUAGGAAUUUUUUUGAUAAUCCUGAUUGGGAUUUUGUCUGAAAUUAGUGUCGAGAUGUUGAUUAGGUUUGCGGUUUCUUGUAAAGCUAGAUCUUAUGGGGAAGUUGUGCAAAUUGCAAUGGGGAGAACUGCUAGGGUUUUGUCUGAGAUUUGCAUAAUUGUCAACAAUGCAGGUGUCCUGAUAGUUUAUUUGAUUAUUAUGGGUGAUGUUAUGUCCGGUUCGGUUCGUCAUAUUGGGGUUUUCGAUCAGUGGUUAGGACAUGGUUUUUGGGAUCAUAGGAAGUUAUUGGUUUUGGUUGUUAUGGUUGUUUUUCUUGCUCCACUUUGCGUGUUAGAUAGGAUUGAUUCAUUGAGCAUGACUUCGGCUGCUUCGGUAGCUCUCGCUGUUGUUUUCGUUGUGGUUUGCUUUGCUGUUGCAUUCAUUAAGCUUAUUGAAGGGAAGAUAGAGGCUCCAAGGAUGAGCCCAGAUUUUGGAUCGAAAAUGGCAAUUUUGGAUUUACUAGUAGUUAUCCCUGUUAUGACCAAUGCAUAUGUUUGCCAUUUCAAUGUUCAACCUAUAUACAAUGAGCUCGAAGGGAGAUCUCCUCAAAAGAUGAAUCAGGUGGGAAGGAUCACAACUGUUCUUUGUGUUGUGGUCUAUGCUUCAACAGCAAUAUCAGGGUAUUUGCUCUUCGGAAAGGACACUGAAGGUGAUGUUUUGACCAAUUUUGAUAGGAAUCUGGGAAUUCGUUUUAGCACUGCUUUGAAUUAUAUUGUCCGGGUCGGCUACAUUCUUCAUUUGGUUCUGGUUUUCCCUGUUAUUCACUUUUCCCUACGGCAAACUGUGGAUAACUUGGUGUUUGAGGGAUCAGCUCCUCUCACGGAGAGUAAAAAAAGGUCUUUGACAUUAACAGUAAUAUUGUUAGUGCUUAUAUAUAUUGGAUCUACUAUGAUCCCAAAUAUAUGGACAGCUUUCAAAUUUACUGGAGCAACAACAGCUGUUUCCUUAGGUUUUACGUUCCCUGCUCUAAUUGCAUUGAGGAUAAGUCAGCAAGAAGAGAGCAUGAGCUUGAGCAGAGUAGAAAAGUUUUUGUCGUGGUUAAUGUUAAUACUGGCUGUGAUAGUUAGCAUUGCUGGGAUAAUCGGGAAUAUUUAUACCAUCCAAAGUAGUUCUGAAUGAUUCCUCUUAAAGAGUUUCGGACCUGUUUUCUGAAGAGCAACUGCGGCAGGUUACCCAGCAAAUGAAGAAUGGACCCUUAUGUCUUGUAAGUUACUGGGAGUUUACAAAUUGAACCAUGUUAGCUGUGGUCUUGCGCUGGUGAAUAGUAGAAUAAUAUAUUGCAUUGUCGAUUUCUUAUGCGCCUACGUGAAUGCAAUAUUGGAAAAACUGGAUCAGCAGGAACAGCUCAACCAAGAAUCAGAGGCCCUUUUUGUUCCAUUAGUUUUAAAGAACCGGUUAUAUGGUAUUUAAUUUACUUUUUAUUGAACCACUGGUGAGUGGAGAUAUCACCAUUUUAACACUCAAUCCGGGGGUUUAUUCUAUGCAUUGAUCUCUGAAAAGGAAACCAAUUGAUAAUCUUCUGGUGAAGAAAGAUGUAGUUGUAAUUAAGAAAUGUCUAUAUUAGAAAGGCUGUAUGGAUGGGAUCUUUCAGUUUCAGGUUUCCAUCCUUUCUCUUUCAACAUCAACAAAUGUAUGCGAUUUACAUGGAUGUUUUUCAUUUAAUAUUCAAGUUGGAUGUUUUCUA